rnacentral:rRNA from 1 species
CGGAGGGUGCAAGCGUUAUCCGGAUUCACUGGGUUUAAAGGGUGCGUAGGUGGGCAAGUAAGUCAGUGGUGAAAUCUCCGGGCUUAACCCGGAAACUGCCAUUGAUACUAUUUGUCUUGAAUACUGUGGAGGUCAGCGGAAUAUGUCAUGUAGCGGUGAAAUGCUUAGAUAUGACAUAGAACACCAAUUGCGAAGGCAGCUGGCUACACAAAUAUUGAUACUGAGGCACGAAAGCGUGGGGAUCAAACAGGAUUAGAUACCCUGGUAGUCCACGCCCUAAACUAUGGAUACUCGACAUCAGCGAUAAACUGCUGGUGUCUGAGCGAAAGCAUUAAGUAUCCCACCUGGGAAGUACGACCGCAAGGUUG